UCUUACUCCGGUGCACUCUUCUAUAGGCAGGCCAGCAUCAGUUUGGGCGGUUGGAUAAAGGUCUCUGUCAUGUACCUCUCUUCGGGGAGAACUUAUAGGGGAGACGACAUGCAACCAGCCUGGACUGAGGUCCGCGCAUCUGCUAGGAUGCUGGCGUAAUGGCUGUAAGCGGCCCGUCUUGAAACACGGACCAAGGAGUACACU
rnacentral:rRNA from 1 species